rnacentral:lncRNA from 1 species
AAUAAAUAUACAUAAUAUUCAUGUACAUGUCAUGAAUUAAUGUAUAAAUUUUUUAUAAAUGGUGUAUACAUGUACAUAUCAUGCAAGAUAGUAUUGCACGUGAGACACAUAGAACUAAUAUUGGUCUGCGGCUGGCACCGAAGUCGAUCGCAUGUGUGCCAAGUGUCUGUGUCUGCCCUCUAUGAACAUUGUAACGUAAGACCCAAAACAUGGUAUUCAACGCCUUCACCAUCUUCUUCCUAAAAGGUUUCCUCCUUCGCUUCUGCAAUUUCAAGAAUCAAAGAUCCCAUGAACAGAAUAACAUGUUUGUUUAUAUUUACGAGAACUCAGCACAUCUCUUCUUACUUUUUGUACGGGUUCAACACCUUAAUCAACAAGACACUGAUUAAUUAAUAAUUCCCUUCUUUUAAUAAAAGUAUCUGUUGAAUUUCCAGCUAAUAUAAUCUCAUAACCAGCUUCUGUUUCCCUUCUUCUUCUUUUUCUUUUUAAUUCAUAAAAUGAAAUUACUAUUUCUUUUUCAUUUCUACUUUAGUGGUGUGCAGUGACGUGACAACAUAAUUUCCCAGCAAUUUACUAAGUUUAUUAAAUAUUUUCAAUCCAAAGUAGACAUCGAUUGUCCGGACUCCAAUGAAUCCUAUGUAUUUUGUAAAUUCGGAUAAAUUAAUAGCGACCAUUCAGAACGGAGACGAUGAGAUUUUGAUAAGACUAACUCGAUAUCCUACUGUUAAAAACUCAUAAUAAAAUUUAAAUAUAAAAUUAUAAAAAUCGAGACAUGAGAUAUUUUCACAUAAAAGAGAAAUUAAUCCUGCCACCUUUUUUACUGCUAAUGUGUUAACCAGUACUAUCUUUCAGUAGCCUGUACUAAAUUUGAGUAGUAGAGCAAUGAUCUAGAAUCCAAUUGGGACUUCUUCUCUAUCCCAAUAUAUUAUUUCAUUACAGUCUGUACAUAUAUGUAUAUAGAUUUACCUCUGCGUAUUGCCUAUUGGGAAGCGUGCACUUUGUUUGGCUUUCUUCAUGUUUUGGCCAUACAAUAGGCAAAGAUUCUCAGACCAUAUUUCUGCAGGCAUAUGUUAUGGAGGGAGUAAGGGAUCCUAUAUACGCAUUUUCUUAAGAAAACUGCAGAUACUGUCACCUUAAAAGCCCAAAAGCAGAAUUUGGUGGCCAGUGAAUAUAAAAGAAAGUUGAUAGAGCAACAGUAGAAAGCAAAAUCCCAAAAGAAAAAAACGAAAAAAGAAAAAAGAAAAAAGAAAAGAAGCUAAAAGAAGAAAACAAAAAUAUGGUUUUUAGUGGUUCUUUGUU